rnacentral:rRNA from 1 species
GGGUGUACGGGUGAAAAUUCGUAGAUAUUCGGAGGAACACCAGUGGCGAAGGCGCUCUAACUGGACCAUUAUUGACGCUGAGGUGCAAAAGCGUGGGAAGCAAACAGGAUUAGAUACCCCUGGUAGUCCACGCCUUAAACAAUGAUACUUAGCUGUGCGGGUAUCUGACCCUUUCAGUGCCGGAGCUAACGCGUUAAGUAUCCCGCCUGGGAAGUACGCCCGCAAGUUUAAAACUCAAAGGAAUUGACGGGGGCCCGCACAAGCGGUGGAGUAUGUGGUUUAAUUCGAUGCAACGCGAAAAACCUUACCAAGGUUUGACAUGUCGCGAACCCUGAUGAAAAUUAGGGGUUCCUUCUGGAGCGCGAACACAAGUGGUGCAUGGUUGUCGUCAGCUCCUGUCGUGAGAUGAUGGGUUAAGUCCCCCCACCAGCACCACCCUCCUUCUUAGUUGCCAGCAUUAAUUUGGUCACUCCACAGAGACUGCCGGCGACGAACCGGAGGAAGGUGGGGAUGAAUUAAAUUCAGUAUGCCCCUUACUUCUUGGGUUGACACACGUACUACAAUAGCUCGGAACAGACGGUGGCCAGCUAGCCAGGGCAAGCAUAUCUAAUGAAAAUCGGACCCUCUCAGAUAUGG